AGCAGGCUCCUCGGGUGUCUGAGCAGAACUGAAAGUCCAGUGAUGAAGACGGACUCGCGGCUGAGUCCACAGCGUCUGCACCGUGUCAUGUAACCUUAUGGACGUUUGUCCAUCGUGGUGUGGUGUCCGCCGGAGCCCCGCGGGUUUGGGACACAUGUGGACGCCGCCGGGAGAGGAGCCCUGUCUGCGUGUGCGCCAGUCAACAACACCUGGGAUGAAACGGUCGUGUCGCGUGUUUUCUACUCUUCCUCCUCCCGAGGGUCUUUCUCGCAGCUAAACCCGCACACGUCACCUGCACACUUUGCAAAAAUGAGGGUCUUCGCGUCCCUGCUGAAAAACGCCAACCCCAAAAUCGAGUAUUACUCCCGGUUCUCCCCGUCCCCGCUCUCCAUCAAGCAGUUCCUGGAUUUCGGCCGGAACAAUGCAUGUGAGAAAACCUCCUACAUGUUCCUGCGUAAGGAGCUGCCCGUGCGCCUGGCCAACACCAUGAGAGAAGUCAACCUGCUGCCUGACAAGCUGCUGGGCCAGCCCUCCGUCAGGCUGGUGCAGAAGUGGUACAUGCAGAGUUUUGUGGAGUUGCUGGAUUACGAGAAUCGAAAAGCGGAGGACCCUCGCGCUCUGAAUGACUUCCUGGAGCUCUUGAUCGAGAUCCGUAACCGUCACAACGACGUGGUUCCCACUAUGGCGCAGGGAGUCAUCGAGUACAAGGAGAAGUUUGGCUUCGACCCCUUCAUCAGCAGCAAUAUCCAGUAUUUCCUCGACCGCUUUUACACCAAUCGCAUCUCGUUCCGCAUGCUCAUCAACCAGCACACUCUGCUGUUUGGGAAUGACACCAACCCCGCUCAUCCAAAACACAUCGGCAGUAUCGACCCCAACUGCAGCGUGGCUGAAGUCGUCAGUGAUGCCUACGACACAGCCAAAAUGCUGUGUGAGAAGUACUACCUGGCUGCUCCUGAGCUCAAGAUCGAAGAGUUCAACAUGAAGGCCCCUAAAAAGCCCAUCCAGGCCGUGUACGUUCCCUCUCAUCUGUUCCACAUGCUGUUCGAGCUGUUCAAGAACUCGAUGAGAGCCACCGUGGAGCUCCAUGAGAACAGCAAAGAGGGAUUACCACCUGUAAAGGCAAAAGUCACUCUGGGUAAAGAGGAUCUAUCCGUAAAGAUCAGUGACAGUGGGGGAGGAGUUCCUCUCAGGAAGAUAGACCGUCUGUUUAACUACAUGUACUCCACUGCCCCGACGCCCAGCCUGGAGCCAGGAGCUGUUCCCCUGGCUGGCUUUGGCUACGGUCUACCCAUUUCAAGGCUCUAUGCCCGAUAUUUCCAGGGGGAUCUGAAGCUCUACUCCAUGGAGGGCGUUGGCACGGAUGCUGUCAUCUAUCUGAAGGCCCUGUCCAGUGAGUCCUUCGAGCGCCUGCCCGUCUUCAACAAGUCAGCGUGGCGGCACUACAAGACCAGCCCCGAGGCCGACGACUGGAGCAACCCCAGCAAGGAGCCACGCGAUGCCAGCAAGUCCAAAUACAAAGCCAAUAGAUAACUCCGCCUCGCUCCCGCUAGCCCAGCCCUCUGCACUCUGCCUCGAGCAUGUACGAUGAAAUGUUGCCCUUGGGUAGAAGCUUGGUCUAGGAUCAGACUGGCUUUUACAUUCCAGUGGUUAAAUCUUUGUAAAAGAUGGAAGACCUCGGCUUAAAUCUGUACCCAAAGGCAAUGAGCUUCAUCAGAGUAGCGGUUCGUUGUUAUCGUUGGACUUUAAAAUCAAACUCUUCCAAAUUAUGGAUCCACACUGUUUAAUCCCAUUUAUAAAGAACCUAUAUGUGUUCAUUUAUAAAUGGGGUUAGACUGUGACCAUUACUUCAACCGAAAUUCCCUGCAUCACUGUUAUCUCUCCCACAUAGUCUGCUUUGCUGACCAGGCCGCUGCUUCGCGAGGCUGAAUGGGCCGAGCCCUGCUGAUCGAGGGUCUUUCUCAGUGUCAGUGAAGGCUUGUUUUCUGCGUCUCCCACUCAAACACAAGUGGAGUCAGGGGGUUCGAGUUUCAGUGCACACAGGAAAAAGAGGGAGGUUUAAUUAUACUUUUGACUCUAUGCACGCUCAGGCCAGUGUGUCAUUUGCAUAGUCUUGUUUUGGUUGCACUCUAUUUAAUUUACAUUUAGGAAGCAUUGGAACAGGCGUCCACCUUGUUUUUAAAGAUCUAGUAAUCAGGAUUUUUAUUUAAUGUCACUGAGAGAAAGCCUUACUUCUAGAUAGAUACAAUAUAAAUGAUUUUUUAAAGAGAAUAGUAGGAGUGACGGUAUUUUUAUCUUGUUACUACUCAACUCCCAGAUGUUAUUCAACCACCCACCAAUAAAGUUAAUCAGCAAUACUGACCCCGCUUGCCCACGAGCGAGCUGCACCUUGAUUUAACGCCUGCUAAUGAUGAACAGUGCAUCCGCCGGGAUGUUCCUGAACCGCCGCAACGCCAGCUUUGACUGUCAAGUAGCUUCAGCCACACCAGCAUGAUGAAUUGAAUGAAUCCUCACAGAAGAGAGGGAACGGACCUGAUGCAUCUCAUGAGAAACGAUAAACGUGGGAUAACGUCAUUACCUUUCAUCCUCACUGCAUUUCCUCCUGCAAACAUUCCAGACCUGGAUACACAACCUCAGCUUGGACUUACCAACGCUUCUUGCAGUCCGCCUUGUGUUUCUCAUGUAGUAUUACUAAUCCUAAUGGUUUCUAUGAAUGAGUUUAAACAAAGCUUUUUUUGAAAAUGUACUUUUGUUUUAUAAUCAAGAGUGAAAAUGAUGUAGAGGAAUUCAGCUAAAAUGCAGAAGAAAUUCGUCAGUGACAGGUUUUUAUUUAUUCGCGCACGUUUUUUUGGGACCUUCAAUCUUUGAUAUUGGAACAGGGUUACUUUUUUUUAUGAUAACUUAUCAGUUUUUAUUGAUUGCUUUUUUGUUUAUUUCUAUGCUAUAGGAAGUUAAGCAGCACUGAAGAGAAUGUGGUUCGAGGAGCUGAGCUCUCGACCGCUGAAGCAUCUGUGGCUCCAUGUAUCCGAUGUGAAAAGAAAGGAUUUUAGAUGAAGACUUUUGAGAGACUCUUCGCUAUGGACUGUUUCCUCACUCUGUAGCUCCUUCGCUGUUCUGCCACACUGUAAUUCCAUCACUGCCAAUGCCUUUGUAAACCUGCCACUGAGCGACGCUCGGUGUCCAACCCGCUGUAAAGGAAGUGUUGUUCGAUAGGUUAGAGACGGCCGCCCCCGUUCAUUCAAAGGCCUCAGUUCACCGCCUGUAAUGUGUGGUCGUCGUCAUCAGGAGGAUCUUCCAGCUUCAGUCGUUGACAACCUUAAGAAAGACUGUCUGUACCUAUUGUGUUAUAGAAAAUAUUGUUUAUAUACAUAUAUAUAUAUAACUAAGAAUAAUGUCUACACUGUAUAUGCAGCCAGUGUGGAGUGAUCGCUCUGUUUUCAAUCCUACUGUACCUCCAAGCUUAAAAUAUUGUUAGUGUUUUUGCAUGAGCUCCUCAGUGUGGAGGCAGUCAUGCAAAGAUGUGCAAAUAUUGCAACAUCAACACAAACAACGAACAAGGUGUGGGAGCAGUCUAACAAUGUGUUUCAGCAUGAUACCAACUUACAAUACCUACUGUCAAAUCUGACAAUAAACAAAAUCGCUGUUGUGUGUAA